GAGAGCCACUCCCAACCUUGCCCCCAGGGCUCCGCCUUCAGGUGGUGUCUCGGGGGGUGCAGGCCACUGCCUCCCCACCCACACCCACAGCAGACAUUGCCAAGCCACCAGGGCGCACGUCUGGCCGCUCUGAGCACUCGCUUCAGGAUCUCAACACGUCAACAGAGCAGGCCUACACCCGUGGGCGGCAUCAGCCACAGUGAGGAACCUGCCUGCAAUCCCCCCAGGGACGGGGCAGGGGUCAGAGCUGAGGGCCGAGGGUGGGGCUCCGACCUGGGCCUGAGGUUCUAGUCCAACGUAGGAAACCUCAGAGCAUUUGCUUCUGCCCCACGCACUUGGACACGCAGCACUCAGCCUUGCCAGGAGCAGACAGCCAUGGCGGAGCAGAUCGCUCAGAGUGACAACAGUCCCGGGGAUCCCAACCUGGACUUCAGGAGGAUCCAUGGAGGCUUCCUGGAAGAGGUGUGCAAAGUGAGCGAGUGAGACGGGGAGACCACGCGUGCCAGAGAGGUGGACAGGACAGAGGAAUAAUGGCUCUUGACAUAAACGACUCCCGCUAGCAAUUAGCGGUGAUUAAUGCAGAACUCGCUGCAGAAGUGGAGGAAGUUCGCCUGGAGGGGGUGGGCGAAGAUGGCACAUUCAUGGGUUUGUGACAAACUCAUGUGGAACGGGAGGAAAUUGCACUGGAGCCGCACCCCUCUCCCAGGUUCCUCUCCGAUUUCCAGCGCAGCUCAUCUGGAUUAUUGCAAUUGCCUCCAGCUCUCGUGGGCUUCCCUGGUGCCUCAGAUGAUAAAGAACCCACUUGAAAUGCUGGAGACCUGGGUUCAAUAUCUGAGUUGGGAAGAUCCCCUGGAGGAGGGCAUGGCAACCCACUCCAGUGUUCUUGCCUGGAGAAUCCAGUGGACAGAGGGGCCUGGUGGGCUAGGGUCCACAGGAUCGCAAAGAGUCAGACGCAACUGGACGACUAACGCUUUCACUUUUCAAUGCCUCUGUGGGACCCACGCCCGAAUCUAUUUUCAACCCAUUGCAGCAAAGUGAUCCUUCUAGACCAGUGCUUCUCGACCUUUCUUUCAUUUUCUGCCCCUCAGCACCUAAGGGGUCUUUCUAGACAUGUUUUCCUAGUUUGCCCCCCAUGAAAUUUUAAGACCACAGAUGAACUGUGCAUCUCUGUGUGAGUACUUUAUGCGUAGCUGUGCUUCAGACAUAACAAGUAAGAUUUCUUCACUGAAAUCUUAAGAACCAGAUUUAAGAACUACUCCCCAAGAACCAGAUUUUCCCCUUGGGGGUGAAAUCAACACCACCCCUAUGAAUGCAUGCUUUAAAGAAUUGAUGAGAUGCUGCCACUGCUCAGAUCCAAGCCCACCGUGGAACAAGACAAAGUUCUGUUAAUUCUGUCCUGACCCCACACAAGAAGCCGGCGUCCUUCGCCUCCUGGGCUCCCCUCCUCAGAGUCUGCCCCCUACCCUCCUUCCCUGGGGGCUCUGAUCAAACCCCUCUCUGGUGCCUUCCUCCCCCACCUGCCUGACACCCCUCGAGCCUCUCGGUAGCCCUGGAAGGCAGCACUCCCAGACCCACACGCCCAGGGCAGGUGGCAGAGCAGAGAGCCCGUCUGCAAAGGAGCAACAACAGCUGAGGAACUCCACGGAAAGCAGCAGCAGGCGCCUGAGGACGGGCCGGGAGGACAGCGGGCAGGGAGGGCGGCCCACGCCCUGCCCCUGCCACGGGCCCGCAGAACCUGCCCCCACGAGGCCUGCUCACAGCUCCCGCCUCUUGUUCUGCAGGGUCUGGGGCCGGUGACCUGGGCAGUCACACUCCAGGGCCGGUUUAACACUCUGCUGUCGUCAUCCUGCCAUUUUCCUGAUUUUGAACAAGGGCCCCUGGUCCCAUCUGGCUCUGGGCCUGCACAGUCUUGCCUGCAGAGGCUGCAUCAGUCGGGAGGCGCUAGACCAUGCCGCGGGAGGAAACACCUCCGAAUCCUAGGAGCUGGGGCAACGAGGGGCGAUUUCUCUCUCGCUGCAGGUGCCUCUGGGACGCAGGACGGUGGAGGAGGCACUGUCUCCAGAGCCAUGGGUCACAGGGCAGAGGAAGGAAGGACUCCUGAGGGUCUUGUCCCGAUAGGAAGGCCUCUGGCCCCAAAGAGACGCAUGUCACGGUGACCAGGACUCGCUGGCCAGCACUAGUCACAGGCCCCACCUAAACACAGGGGGCUGAGGGAGCAGCCCCCACGCAGGGAAAUUCCAGAGGCAGGAGCAGGACACACUGGGUGAAGCGCAUACACCAGGGACCGCAGGGAGCCGCUCGGCCAGCCCACGGCCCCGCUCCUGAGCCAGGGCCGAGGCGGCGGCCCUGACCUGGGCUGGGAGCUCUUCAUCAGGCUGGCUCCCACCAGCGUCCACCCGGCCCCCUUCAUUGUCAUUCCAGGCUGAGCACAGGCCGCAUCUGAGGGGGAGGGACGCAAAGUGGUACUCGCAGCAACUCAAUUAAUCCUCCAUCGGAAAUUCUAACAUGAUCAAUUUGGGAAGCCGGCCGACAUCGCAACACAGUAAUUAGGAACAAGUUUCAACUCCCAGCUUCCUUUGAAGAUUGUAAUUGCAAUUAAUUAAACAUUCUCACUGUUCCUCAGAGUCUGUUCCCUAAGAAACUGGAGCAGACGCAGGGGGUGGAGGGACCCUGACCCCUGUUCCCAGCAGUGCAGGGAUCAAACGGGAGCCCUCUCCUUGGAAUAUGGAAGGACAUGGCGUCUCCAGUCUCCCUGGGAAUGCUGUGUUGGCUAGGAGGUUAGAGGGAACCUGCCUCAGGUUCUGAGCUGACACCCCGACUCCCGUCCUCCCCCAGGGACCCCCAGGAUGCCCAGCCUCCCUGCUCAACAAGCUGAGAGCCCCCAGUCACAUUCAUAACAUUCAGAGCAGCCCCCACAUGUAGGUUCUAGGGACAGAGGUCCCACGUGACCGCUGACAGGUC